AAGGUAUUUGGCUCUCUUGCCCUUCUGCCUUCUGCCAUGUGAGGACACAGUAUUCCUCCCCACCAUGAGGGGAGCCAUCUUGGAAGCAGAGAGUGGCCUUCACAAGCAACCUCUCUGAUCUUGGACUUGCCAGCCUCCAGAACUGUUUUCUAAUGCUACGUGCAUGUGUGCGCAUAUAGCACAGCCUGUAGUGAAAAGACUGGGCAAGAAGAGGAGAUACAGCCACAGCAAUGACAGCAAAGGAGCUGAACUUCUGCUUGUCUCAGCCUUGACACACUUUUCACUUCCCACUUACUUCCCUCUCAAUACAGCCUGAUUUUUCACUGUGAAAUCUGAUAUAAAAGGAAAUGCACCUGAGGAAAUGGGUGUAUAUACACUGAAUGACAUCUCCAUGCCUUUUUAAAUUUUCCCAUUCCUUUCCACAUCCACUGCUGUAAUGCAAGGAUCUAUCAUCUGAUGAGAAUAAUGGUGGUGGAUGUGGUGGUGUAGGCAUUCACUCACUGAGGGGAAAUUUACAAAGGACCAUUUGUGGGGUUAGGGGCCAGGAGAUGUGAGGCCCCUCAGACUACUGAUGUUGGAGGUGAUCAUUGAUCUGGAAGGGAGUAAGAAUGAGGGAAUGUCAUAGUAACAACACCCAAAGAUGACAUUGAUGACUGCCCUAAAUACACAAAAACACUGGGCAUCUAUUAAGCUCUUUUUCAGAAACACUGUACACUCUGAUAGUCAUGGUGCUAUAGAUGCAAGAACAUUCACAGUUCAAAGGAGCAUUAUCUUGAUGUCAUGUACUGUGCUCAUAAACUCAGUCCACUGAAUGGAAAGACAUGGAGCCAAAAGUCACUUUCAGCCAAUGGCUUAACAUGCAAUCAAAUGUGAAUUGUAACUUUGGUCUUUGGUGGGUCUACCAUGGGACAACGUGAUUUAAUUCAAUCAAUAUGUUUAAAUAUCUACUAGUUUUUUGUUUUGUUUUGUUAUGUUUUGUUUUUGAGACAGAGUCUCACUCUGUUGCCCAGGCAGGAGUGCAAUGGUGCGAUCUAGGCUCACUGCAACCUCUGCCUCCUGGGUUCAAGCGAUUCUCCCUGCCUCAGCCUCCCAAGUAGCUGGGAUUACAGGUGUCUGCCACCACGCCCAGCUAAUUUUUGUAUUUCUAGUAGAGAACGGGUUUCAUCAUGUUGGCCAGGCUGGUCUCAAACUCCUGACCUCAGGCGAUCUGCCAGCCUCGGCCUCCCAAAGUGCUGAGAUUACAAGUGUGAGCCACCAUUCCUGGUCUAAAUGUCUACUAGUUUGUGAAGCAUUGUAGAAGUGCUUACUAGAGGUACAAAAAUUAGUAAUUCUUGCAUGGUACUACUUGCCAUCAAAAAGUCAACAGAACAUCUGCAAAUGAGACAAAUUAUGUCCAGUGAAUUCUGCCUUGUCAUUCAGAUCUAUAUCAACAAUAAAAGAAAAACAACUUAUGAAAAUUCAAAGAAUAAUUAUUUGGGGAGGAGUCAGGGAGAAAUCAGUAAGCCCGCAAGAGAAGGACACUACAUUUCAGAUGUGUCUUGAUGGAUAUACAGAUUUUCACCAGGCAAUGUGAGGGCAGGAAGUUAAUUCUAAGCAGUGGGUAAAACAGGAGAUAUAGCUGGUUAUGGUCCCAGCUACUCAGGAGGCUGAGGCAGGAGGAUUGCUUGAGGCCAGGAGUUCGAGGCUGCAGUGACCCAUAAUGGCACCACUGCACUCCAGCCUGGGCAACAGAGUGAGACUCUGAUUCAAAAGAAAAGAAAGAAAGAAAAAAGGAGAUAUGUUUGGAGACCAGGGAACAGUUCAGUUUAGCCAGAUCAAGGUGUAGACCCAGCUGCGUCAUGAUUUUCGUAGGAGCCUUGAAAAUCAAGCUAAGGAAUUUGUAUUUUUGAUUCUAUAAGUAAUGGAGGGGGGCAUUAAAAGAUUUUGUGCAGGAGAAUCUAUGACUCAAGUUAGGUUUCAGUAAAUUUAGUUGGUUUUGAGUGGGGAGAAGCAGUUAGUGCAAAUAGGAUGUAACCCUCAUGGCCUAGAAAGGAUGCUGAGAACAUAAUCUUGGUGGUAGAAAUGGAAAUUGAAGGAAGAGACAGAUAUAAAAUACAGAAAGAACCAACAAGUCUUGGUGACUUAUUCAUCAUGAUGAGAAUACCAUAGAGAAGGAGACUCUUGCUUUUUUUUUUUUUUAACAACAUGCCUCAAAAAAUGUUGCCACGAUAAUUGUUUUCAGAAGAUAGAGCAUGUCUUUUUAGACAUACUGACUUUAAGGUGCUGGUAAAACUUUCUUAUGAGUCUGACGAGCAGAAGAGGAAUGGAGCAGACUAUACACUCAAGAGAUAACUCCCCAUCAAAAUAAGAAUCAAAGCCACACUUUGAUUAGGAAGAGAGUAUAGAGGGAGAAGAUAAUUAAAAGACAACCAUGUGAAAGGCUGCACAAAAUGGGCAAAAAGAGGAAAUAAGUGUCAUAAAAGGAGAUCUGGCUGGGCGCGGUAGCUCACGCCUGUAAUCCUAGCACUUUGGGAGGCCGAGGCAGGAGGAUCACUUGAGGUCAGGAGUUCAAAACCAGCCUGACCAACGUGGUGAAACGCCAUCUCUACUAAAAAUACAAAAAGAAAAAAAAAAUUAGUCGGGCAUGGUGGCGGGUGCACCCGUGAUCCUGGCUACUCGGGAGGCUGAGGCAGGAGAAAUGCUUGAACCCAAGAGGCAGAGAUUGCAGCGAGCCAAGGUCACGCCACUGCACUCCACCCUGGGCAACAGAAUGAGACUCCGUCUCAAAAAAAAAAAAAAAAAAAAAAGAGAGAUCUGAGAGAAAUCAGAGAAAGGAGAAUAAUUCAGUGCAAGUGGGAAAGGCUUCAUUCAUUCAAUAUCUGUUGUUGAGCAAAUAUUACAAGUCAGACUUCAUGCUCAAUACUGGGGAUAAAGUGGUGGACAGGACAGAAUACUUCUGCUCUCACAGAGCUCACAGUCUUCCAACACAUGUUGGUAAACAGCAUGAAACAUCCCAGUGAGUUCAGGACGACACGAAUUGAGAAAAGUCCCUCAGGACCUUUAACCAAAUGAAUACUUUUGGAAUGAAAUGGGUGCUUCAAUGCCCAAGGGUAAAUUAAUUUAUAAUAAUGGGUGCAGUUAUAUAAUUUUGAAAGAUUUUUCAGACUUGCAAAGGAUCCUUGAACAAACAAAAUACUCAUCUCCCCACAACCCCCUCCCUGCCUCACACGUUAAUCUACUUGAAAUAGUCGCUAAGAAGAGAGGCUAUUAAGUAAAAAAACACAUUCUGUUAUGUAUUAUUGAAAAGCAAUAUUAUUCACAUGUUCUGGAAAAAGUGAGAACACGAAAAAUAAAUAAAAGGACAAAAAAUAGUAAGAAGGGCUUAAUAAUUUAAGCCCAGAAAUAUAUCUUCAAAACAAUCAACCACUACCUGGCCUACAAUUCUCCAGAAAUCUUGCACACAGAUUUUAUAUUGCAUGGCUCAUUAAUUUCCAAACCAUCCACAGCUUUAUUUUAUGAGAGGGCAUAAGCUUCAGGCCUGGGGAGAGAGGGUGGCUGAAUUUCAACACUUUGUCCUAUCAUUUGUUUAGUACACCUCUUACAUUUAUAUGACAUAAAGAAAAUAAAAUAAUGAUUGUAUGAUGAAAAGCUUUUCAUGGAUUCAGAAUAAAUGG
rnacentral:lncRNA from 1 species